rnacentral:lncRNA from 1 species
GUGUUUACUAGUGUAUUAAACUGUAAUAAACUGUGACUUGGGCCCAGUGUCAGGGUGCAUACUCUGUUGGUUUACAGACAAUUCAGCUAGGCUUCUCACAGGGACCUUAGCAAUAGGCGUCAUCACCUGCGCUGCUGCCAGAUGCAGGUGGCCUGACAAGAGAACUGCUCUGUACCAUAGCCCUCUCACCUCCUCUUCCCCUCCUCCUCCUCCUCCUCCUCCGCCCCUCCCCCUUCUCCCCACUUCCUUCACAGGUGUUCCUGCCAGCCUCUUUUUCUCUCUUUCUCACCUUCUCUGCCCUCGCAGCUCUGUCUGUCUCUACUCCUCCAGGUCCUCACUCCCCUCCCUUCCAAAGGUAUGAUGUCUCAGGGGAACACCUUGGCAUGGGCCUGCCAGGCACCUCUGCCACCGUUGCAUUACAUUUCAUAACAUACCCAUCAUCUCAGUAUUCAGGAGGAGGCUGAGGCAGGAGGAUUGUAAGUUUUUGUUUUUUUAAAGAAUUAUUUAUUCAUUUUAUGUAUCUGAGUACACUGUAGCUGUCUUCAGACACACCAGAAGAGGGCAUCAGAUCCCAUUACAGAUGGUUGUGAGCCACCAUGUGGUUGCUUGGGAUUGACCUCAGGACCUCUGGAAGAGCAGUCAGUCCUCUUAACCUCUGAGCCAGCUCUCCAGCCCAUAAGUUUGAGGCUAGCCUGGGCUUCAGAGUGGGUCACUCAAAAAUACAUACAUACAUACAUACAGAAAUAAAUUUAUGGUGGCAUACAGGCAGUUCUUAGUCAUGUCUAUGAAGGUUCCUCAAAUUCUUUAUGGUCAUGACAAAAAGAAACUUUAAUAACACAAUUAUAUAUGACAAAUAGGACCAGGGUGGUCUUGACAACCCCCCCCCCCACCUCUCAGGCAACACUGCCCACCCAGGUAGUCCAGGCAGGUCUUCGGAUGAAAGACAACCACCGCAGCCGUGGUGUACUGCACUGAAGGAGCUGCGCACAACAGUCACCUUGUAUGCUGCAGUACCCACUGCUGGGGUUAGCUCGGGCAUCUGGGAAGCACAGAUGGGAGGAAAGAUGUCUGAGGGUUAGGAUGUGGCACGGGAGAUCAGUCUGCUUCUGGGCAGGGAGUGGUUGUCUGCUGCAGCAAGAAGUGCGCUGGGAGCCCUAGGCCAGAGAGUGAGCUGUGUAUCAAACAACAAACCCACAAAGCCUUGAUCUGUGAAUGAGAAAAAUAAAAUGAAAGGUGCAGGACCUGUCUACUCCUCACAUAUGGGGAGGAUUUCUAUUGUAGAUAUAAGGGAGGGACCAGGCAGAGGCAAGCGUCCAGGAUGAACCUGAGAAUUGUAAGAAGACAGAGUCCUCGGUUGUUUAAUGAAAACAAGCUGUAUUUUGGGAUGCACCCGGGACUGGCCAGCUGGCUGCCGCUCCCUAAGUGGGAUUUGGCCUCUUGAAGGUGUUCCCAUGGAUGAGGGACCUGGCCUAACAUUGACCUACAUUGUUACAGAGAUGCAGCUGAAAGGGAAGAAGCAAGGGUAAGGAUAUAUACAUCAUGGGAAUAGGGUUGCAAGCGGUUUACAUCACAUUAAAGAGACAGGAACUCUUUUUUGUUUGUUUGGUUUUUUUUUCGAGACAAGGUUUCUCUGUAUAGCCCUGGAACUCACUUUGUAGACCAGGCUGGCCUCAAACUCAGAAAUCCGCCUGCCUCUGCCUCCCAAGUGCUGGGAUUAAAGGCAUGCACCACCGCGCCCGGCUGAGACAGGAACUUCUUUAAUUGCAGUUAGAAACCUUAACUUGAAAGGACUUAACACAGGAUAAACAGAAACUUCUUUAUAAGUGUCUUUUUAAAUAUAUAUGUUUAUAUUUGUUCUUUAAUCCUUUUUUACAGUCCAGACUGCAUCCCCCUCCCAGUCUGCACACACACCUCCCACACACAGUUCCUCAUCCCAUUCCUCCUUCCCCUCCCCUCCCCCUCUCCAAAAGGAUGUCCCCAUCCCCUACCCCCACCCUACCAGGCCUCCCUACUCCCUGGGGCCUCAAGUCUCUCAAGGGUUAGGUGCAUCUUCUCUCACUGAGGCUAAACCAGGCUCUGUUCUAUAUGUGUCAGGGGCCUCAUAUCAGCUGGUGUAUGCUGCCUGGUUGGUGGCUCAGUGUAUGAGAGAUCUUGGGAGUCCAGGUCAGUUGAGACUGUGGUCUUCCUAUGGGGUUGUCCUCCUCAGCUUCUUCCAACUUUUCCCCAAUUCAACCACAGGGGUUCCACAGGGUCUGUCCUUUGGUUGGGUCUGCAUCUGACUCUUUCAGCUGCUUGUUGGGUUUCUCAGAGGGCAGCCAUGUUAGGCCCCUAUCUGCAAGCACACCACAGCAUCAGUAAUAGUGUCAGGCCCUUGCUGGGGGCCAGCCCCAGCGUGGGGUUCUUUUUUCUUGUCGGCUCUUCUUGAGGCAAUGGAGGGGGAAGAGCAUCGAUGGAGGGUAAGACUUUGUCUUACAAGAUUUUUACGUAGCUUACCUGCCUUCUGCGAUCCCCUGAGGCCAGAAACUGCAGUUUCUGGCACUUAGCACCUCUCCCUCAAGCCACAAAGGAUUAAGUAAAUAGCCUUUGUUCUGUCUCAACAGGAACUGCUGCUGGGCUCUAACUUUCAGCCUGCUAGUGGGGAGUUGCAGAAAGACAAAGGUUUAUUACUAAGUUGUAAAAAGUUUCCUAUGAAAGCUAAGCAAAAAGAUCCUAAGUGGGGAAAGGGGAAAGAGCCUCCUUUCUCCAGCUCCUCCUCAUCUCUCUGUCCUCAGCACUUACACAGCUUUCCCAAAGUUCAUCACACGUUCACACACAAAAAAUCAAAUCAUAAAUUGAAGUAGAAGUUUACAACAGCGAAUGUUUCCAUGCAUAUCCAUUAGGAGUAACUAUCUGGCUAAACAUCCAUCACCUGUCUCAGCUCCACAGGUUCACUGAAGGGUUAAAACCAUAACUAAGUUAUUAGUGACGUUUUGUAUAGAUAAACCCAGUCAAUAUUUUAUCUUCUGUCCUAGCACCUAUAAUAAAUUGCUAGUUUUAUAACCUUUGGUUAAUUGUUUUACUACCUCUUGGAAUGUGCGCUGAGUAGGAGAAAGUCUGGUUACCGGCUAAGAGCAAUUAACUGGUGACACUUGGGAGACUAACACAGUUCUCAUUGCAGUUUUGACUAUUAGAAAAGGACCUAAUAGCAGUCCCACUAUAAAAGAGCUUAAUAAUCACAGAUAUAAUUUUAGGAAUUCUUUUUUUAAAAAGAUUUUAUUU